rnacentral:rRNA from 1 species
CCUACGGGGGGCAGCAGUGAGGAAUAUUGGUCAAUGGGCGGGAGCCUGAACCAGCCAAGUCGCGUGAGGGAAGACGGUCCUAUGGAUUGUAAACCUCUUUAGGCGGGGAGAAAUGCCGGGCACGUGUGCCCGGAGGGAGAGUACCCGCAGAAUAAGCAUGGGCUAACUCCGUGCCAGCCGCCGCGGUAAUCCGGAGGAUGCGAGCGUUAUUCGGAUUUAUUGGGUUUAAAGGGUGCGGAGGCGGAUUUUUAAGUCAGCGGUAAAAUGUCGGGGCUCAACCCGGGCCUGCCGUUGAAACUGGGGAUCUUGAGUGGGCGAGAAGUAUGCGGAAUGCGUGGUGUAGCGGUGAAAUGCAUAGAUAUCACGCAGAACUCCGAUUGCGAAGGCAGCAUACCGGCGCCCGACUGACGCUGAGGCACGAAAGCGUGGGGAUCGAACAGGAUUAGAUACCCCUGUAGUC